UACGGAGGGGGCUAGCGUUGUUCGGAAUUAUUGGGCGUAAAGAGCUCGUAGGCGGUCUGUCGCGUCGAAUGUGAAAACCCGGGGCUCAACUCCGGGCUUGCAUUCGAUACGGGCAGGCUAGAGUUCGGUAGGGGAGUCUGGAAUUCCUGGUGUAGCGGUGAAAUGCGCAGAUAUCAGGAGGAACACCGGUGGCGAAGGCGGGACUCUGGGCCGAUACUGACGCUGAGGAGCGAAAGCGUGGGGAGCGAACAGG
rnacentral:rRNA from 1 species